rnacentral:rRNA from 1 species
AUUGAACGCUGGCGGCAGGCCUAACACAUGCAAGUCGAACGAGUGGCGGACGGGUGAGUAAUGUCUGGGAAACUGCCUGAUGGAGGGGGAUAACUACUGGAAACGGUAGCUAAUACCACAUACCAUCAGAUGUGCCCAGAUGGGAUUAGCUAGUAGGUGGGGUAACGGCUCACCUAGGCGAAGAUCCCUAGCUGGUCUGAGAGGAUGACCAGCCACACUGGAACGGAGACACGGUCCAGACUCCUACGGGAGGCAGCAGUGGGGAAUAUUGCACAAUGGGCGCAAGCCGGAUGCAGCCAUGCCGCGUGUGUGAAGAAGGCCUUCGGUUUGUAAAGUACUUUCAGCGAGGAGGCGUUACUCGCAGAAGAAGCACCGGCUAACUCCGUGCCAGCAGCCGCGGUAAUUC